AUACAUAUAUAUGUAUACACAUAUAUGUGUGUAUACAUAUAUAUGUACACAUAUAUGUGUAUACAUAUAUAUGUGCA
rnacentral:pre_miRNA from 13 species